AUUGAACGCUGGCGGCAUGCCUUACACAUGCAAGUCGAACGGCAGCACGGGGGCGAACCCUCGGUGGCGAGUGGCGAACGGGUGAGUAAUACAUCGGAACGUGCCCGAUAGUGGGGGAGUAGCCCGGCGAAAGCCGGAUUAAUACCGCAUGAGACCUAUGGGUGGAAAGCGGGGGAGUCGCAAGACCUCGCGCUAUCGGAGUGGCCGAUGUCAGAUUAGGUUGUUGGUGAGGUAAAGG
rnacentral:rRNA from 1 species